UGCCCUUUUCUACGUAUAGAUGGCAGCAGAGCGUUACAGACGGCGGAAGUCAGCCUGGCAGUUAGAACAGAGAUGAGUGACAGUGUAAACCGACUUCUAUCAGCGUGGCCGCCUGUGUCCUGUAGUUAAACAUAAAAUAGGAAAGAAAGCCACUGUUGAUAACACAAGAGUGUAGGAGAAUGAAGAAGGCUGUGAGAAGCUGUAAUACACUGAAUUUCUGGACAAAUCCCAGGUGGGAAAGCUUAAUCUUUGAAGGUAUGUCACCCAGUCCCGUAAGAUGAUAGAAAUCAGCUAAGAUAAUAUGCGUGUCAAAAUCCAGAGGCGACAGAGGGCCGGGGGGCGGAGGGGCAAGGGGGAAGCAAAAGAGAAACCGGACACAGUUUCGGCGGCGAGUGAUGGCCCGCUGCCUGCAGGCUGUGGGGCUUGGCCUGGACGCCGCCUUCUCACUUAAGCCAGUUACCAGGAGGAAAUGUCAGUCCACGAAGCAGGCAAACAUUCCAUGGGAACAUUUGCUCAAAUGUCAGCAUUUUAGAAAAUAGAACUGCGGUCUGUUAUGGUCUGGUCCCCACGCUGGAUUUGCUAUUCAACGUACAAGGACAAAGAGAUUCCUUCAGAAUGCGUUUGCAAUUAGCAAGUCAUUUAAUGUCUUAAUUAGCAUUCCUAAAUAAUGACAUCAUCACCAUAAAAGGUGGCAGUCGUCAUUAUAAUUAAUAUUUAAUAUGCGUCUGCUUCUGAGGGCCCUUCUGUGGCUGCCCGCAAAUAUCCAAGGUAGUUUUCAAGUUUCAGGUUUGGAUUUGGUGAGAGCCCAGGCAUGAGGAUCUAAUAAAGUAAAAUCAUGUUUAUUAGAAACGUGAGGUAUGGAAGCAGGUUAUACAAGAGCAGUUUGUAGCGUGUCCUGAACCGGAGGAUCAGGUCAGCAUCUACUCCUUGGGAGCCUCCUAAGGCUUCUUACUUCCUCGAGGUGAUGCUGCGGCUGUUCAGGAAGACGCUCCCCUGCUCUUCGGCUUCUUCCGAUCUGCUCUCACGCGCUUUAGUACCGCAGACCAGCCUCUGUGUCACAAAACUGAUUCCAAAGGUGUGUCUAACCACUUGCUCAGAUGUAGCGCCUGGCAAGUCUCUCCUGUGACAGCAACUUAUUUCUCACAUAAUUAUUUUCUUAGUAAAUUUGAUAUCUUAACAGCCCCUUACCUCAUUUCUGGGUUCAAAAAAUAACACCGAAUAUUAUUUAUUUCUCAGACUUCACAAAGGCUUACUUGACUGUAGCUGCUGCACCGCGGGAAGGGCCGGGGCUGCCAGGGCCAGUCCCACCGUUGCCCUGGGCCUCGGUGUCACUUAACGAGGCAGAAGACAUAUCCCUGCUGCCGUGGGUUACUUGUUAGUGAUGGAGUGGGUCUGCCCUGUCACAGAUCAGUAGAAAAGAAGAUACAUACUUACACGUGUGCUGUUUCUCUGGUUUAAGUAAGCUAUUGCGUUAACCUCAGUUUGUCUGCACAGCUAGGUCUGUGUUACUCUCAUUUUUUUAGUAGUGUGGGCUGUGUAAAUACAAGAACUAAGAAAGGUUUGAAAUAAUCCAAAUUUGACUUUGAUCCUAAACGUGUAAUUAUUUUAUAAUUUUGUGAGCUUUCAAUUUAAUUAAUUAAACGGCAUUUUAUAAGAUGAACUUUCACCAUCAUAUAGUUCUUAAAAUCAAAGCCUAUGUUGUUUGAAUUAGUGACAAUUAUAUAUAAAUUUCUUCAUACAGCAUUAUCAAAAUAUCAAUUAUAUGUGUUUUAGAUUUAGAAUGAAAUAUAUAUCAUUUGUUUUAGGUUGACAUGUGCUGUUUGAAAACAACUUUUAGCCAGAACAUAGUAUGUUUUGCAGGUUGCAUCUGUAUUUUUGGAUUGAACACUUACUUACGUUCGUAAUUGUAUUGCCGGUCGCUUGUAUUCUUUGGGGAAUGAUUCCAUGUGGAUUUGGUGUCUCUAGCUCUCUGUCUCUCUCUGCCUGCUUCAUUCUCUCGGUUUCCUCUUGAGGAUUCUGCUUCUCAAGCUGAGCAUCUUCUAUGUUGAUGAGUCUUGGUGCUGCAGCUUUACUGGCACAGGGUCCAGACACUAGUCCAUAAAACCCAGUUUAAAAAGUCUCUAAAGUGUGAAAUAUUAGCUUGUCAUUUUUUUCUCAAGUUUUCUCUUUUGACAAGCUUCGUUGAAUUUUCUUUUUCUUUUUUUCCUAUGUGUUCUGCCAUCCUAAUUCUGAAGGAAUUUAUAGAUAUAUCAUUUGGGAAAAGAUGUAUUUUAACUGACAACAUAAAUAUCUUGGUUUCGCAGUUAUCUGGUCAAAGAUUUUAAAUUGCAAACCGUGAAAAUUCGUUCUUUACAAUAUAGCAUAAAUUACAUUUAGUGCUUUCAGUAAAAACAUUUCAGUAAAAUUUUGACACGAACAGUGUCACAUUAAAAAAAAAACUCAAUGUCAGCUCAUAUGCUCAUGAAAUAUUUAAUAGAAACAUUGCAGGUUAAUUUUGUCUUCUUUAAUAAUAAAAUAUAAGUUUACAAAGAGUUUUGACUCAGCUUACUCAUUGUCUUGCAAUUACUAAUACAAAUGAGAAUUUUUAAUGAGAUAAGAAUUACACUUCUCCGUGUAAAACAGCAACGAAGUGCAGAGAUUUAAUGCUUACCUUUACUUUCAGGGGCACCUCAUUUUCUCCACUGCAGUAGAUCUUAAUUCCAGAUGUUAGCACACGACAUUCGUGUAGUGUUCCAAUCACAUGUUUGUUUGUUUAAUAUUCGCUCUGUGACCUGACGCGCUCUGUGGUAUCAUGAUUUCUCGGUUAUGCAGAUUUUGUUGCUGUUAUUGACUUCUUAUUUGCAGUCUUCCAUCUGUGUUAAACUAAAGACAUAUGUUGUGUUGUCACCUGUCAGAUCCCUUAUGAAUAGUCUGUACUUUACUUAAAUUGUAUUGUGGUUUUAGACCUUUAUGAACAGAGCUUCAUAAAAUUAAGUAAGAUAGUUUGUUGCGUAUACAGAUAUGUUCAUGAAACAUCGCUAUAAUGAUGAAAAUAUUGAUUGUUGGAACAAUUAAGACAUUAAGAAAACACAUAUUUAAAUGUGGCUAAUGUCUGAAAAUUUGUGAGUUGUUUAUCUCUUAGAAAUUUGUGAUAAAUCUAAAAGAUAACUAAGGAUUUCACUAUAUUGAAAAAUUUAUAGAUAUGUAUUUAUUUAACCCAGUUUUAAUUAUAUAAUUAUUUUAUGAUUUAAGCCUCAUUGAUCUUGUGUGUGUGAUCAGUAUAUUGAAAUGUAAAGCAUUCUAAAUACUAGCACAGGAUAUUUUUUCUUCAUGAGAAGAAAUAGAAGGAAUUAGACUAGCCAGAGCCUUUUUAGUCUUGCAAAGCAAAACUCAUGAAUGAAACGUGCAGCUUCUCUGGGCCUCAGUUUCCACAUCUGUAAAAUGGGGGGUGAGGCUUUGGGAAGGAAGGGUUAGGUCAGCUGCUCUCUGAGAUCUCUUCCACCCUAAAAUUCAAUGAUGAUAUGAUUUGUUUUUUGCAGUAGUGUUAUGCUUAUCAAUGUAAAUUGUAUGUCUUAUCUAAUGUAAACGUAAGUGUAAUAAAAGCUAAGGAUGAAAAGUUCAGUCUCUUUUCAAAACCAUACUUUUAGGGAAGAAUCAGUGGACAGAUUUUAGUAUAAAUGGUUUUCUCAAGAAAUAUUUGAAAUCCUAAUCUAGAGUAGACUUCUACCUUUUAAAAAAUGUAAUGCAGAAGAGUAGAAACUAGAUGUUUGAUUUGUGGGAUAAUGAGUUUGUCACAUCCGUAUUGGCAACUCUACUAAAUAUACGCUAAGUGUGAGUUUAUAAUGAGAAAUGUCGUGGUUAAAUAUAGACAAUGAUUUUAGAAAACAAAAAGUGAAAGUUUAGAAAAUAUAUUUUUAAAAGCCAACAUUAUAAUUUUACUAGCACAGCCUGAAUUCAUCAUCUGGCAGAAAAAAACAAAAUUAAAUGUUUUAAUUUCCAAGAUUU